rnacentral:rRNA from 1 species
UACAGAGGGUGCGAGCGUUACUCGGAAUUACUGGGCGUAAAGCGUGCGUAGGCGGUUACAUAAGUCGGGUGUGAAAGCCCCAGGCUCAACCUGGGAAUUGCAUUCGAGACUGCGUAGCUAGGGUGCGGAAGAGGGAAGCGGAAUUUCCGGUGUAGCGGUGAAAUGCGUAGAUAUCGGAAGGAACACCAGUGGCGAAAGCGGCUUCCUGGUCCAGCACCGACGUUCAGGCACGAAAGCCGGGGGAGCAAACAGG